GUCACAUGGGCUUGAGGCUGCCACGUCUGGCUGCACAGGCCCGUAUGUGGGUGUACGUCAUGAAUAGUAACCUCUGCUCCAACUCUGGGUCCAAAAGAGAGGUCAGGACAAUAGAAAGAUUGAUGUCUGAUGUCUGCUGCAUUCAUCCAAGGGACUCUGUGUUGCAUGAGAGAGCAGCAAAUUCUCAUGUACAAAGGAAUGCACACUCCCCCUAGGAGUGCCAAGUAAAACAUAGGAAAGACUAGCUUGCAAGGUUGUCCAUUCAGACUCACCCCACCAGCAUCUACUUGGAACUCCUGCCAUAUGGGUGUGUGACAGGAUACAAGGGAACCCAGCCAGCCUCCUGGAAAUAACGAUCUAGAGGGGAAAUGGAAAAUGACAGUCAUCCCAGAACACUGCUCUAUGGACGGGAUGAAUGAAGAGUUCAGUAGAAGAAAGCUCGGCUCUACUCACUAACAGGGCUCCCCCAAUGUUCAAAGCACCACAGGGGUUCCUCUCUAGGCCAGCUAGCUCUGCCCAGAAUGAAGUCUCCUCUACCCCUGGCAUACCACAGUGGUACCCCUGCUCCAAGACGCCCUCUGUCUUCAUUGUGCUUUAUGCUCUUAGCUGUUAGCUCUUUCCUGGCACCUUUGACAUUAUCUACCUUGUACGGCCCCUCACAUGAGAGUGAGGGAUACAUCUGUACCCAGUAAGUGCUGUGCAGAUUCAAUCUGUAGGAAUUAAAUCCAACUGGAAAAUGUUAUCAGACAAAAUAAGGAAAGUAUGCAUUUGUAUUUGCUGGCAUGGAAGGAAGGAUUCCUAGAGAAAUCACAGCUACUCAGGAAGCUGACACGGGAUCAAAAGUUUGAGGCCAGCCUGGGCAGCUUAGUCAACCCAAUCUCUAAACAAAACUAAUAGAAAGAGGGAGA